UAUCAGGUAUGUGAAUCCCCCGUUUUUCAUUUUCUCAACUCUAUUAUAUUGAUUUCUGGCCUUGCUUGAGUCUUUCCUACGCAAGGGAGAGGGGUCUUGCAGUUUCAGGGACUCAACUUCCCAUUCAAUUUAUAAAUGAGGCUGAUAUUUUUAGCAGGAAAAUCAACAUGAAUACAUACAAAUGGAGUAGUUCCUUCAGAAAUAAGGCAAUGAGAAAAUGUAACAGAGGAGUUAUGUAUAGUCCAUCAAAAAUUAGUGUGGGAAAUAGUUUUUAAGGUUGAAUGUUGCUUUGUGUCUCUCAGAUGGACAGUUCCUUUGUCCUUUGUUAUUUCUGCAAUCAACACUGAAUUACUAUCAGAAACUGAGGCUGUUAGAUAACCCUGACGCCAGGACCCAGCCCCGUAGAUGAUAGAUAGAGACUACUUCAGUUGCUGUAAAAAACAGGCCCUUUCAAUUUAGUACUUUUCUGUAUGUGAGAAGUGUCUUUCUUUUUUCCUCCUCUGUGGCUAAAAAACAUUUUCGCAGACAGAAAGAACUUAUCUUGGGAAGACCAAUGUUUUCUGCUCUCAUCUAGCCAUCCUAACCGCUCUGAUGGAGCCUCUGCUUCUCUCAGUGCUUAGAUGGUUAAUCUGCCUAUGCACUAAAAAGCUAAAAUAGCUGUUUAUUUUCAAAUAAUCAUACAUAAACAACAAUGUUCCUACAGCAUCAGAGCCAAGGGAAAGUAAGUUUGAAGGGGCCAGCUGCCUAUGCACUUAUUCAUGAAUCAAAAACUUGGAUGUCUGGGGCUCAAAAUAUCAAGUACAUGCUGAUAUUUCAUUCACAAUGACAUGCUUUGGCCCACAAGGAAACAUUUUUCUUUUCCAAAAACCUCCCAUAUUCCUGAUAAAUCAAGGGCUAGACUUCUAAAAAGGGCAAAUAUCCCCCGCUUAAAUGACAUUUCCUCUGGUGGGUCCUACUCAGGUCAGUUCUGGUCCCUCCUAAAGAAAUCUUGAUCUCUUCCCAGUAUUGCCAGGUAUCAGAGUCUAAAAUCACAUCUUUAGCAGGAUUGAAUGGAAGCUGCGAAAAGCCUCCCAGCUACAAAGCAGCAGAUUUGUUUUUUAAAGGGAGAAGCACAGAGAAUCCCAAGGUUUGUUAGCAAGGACCUGAUAUUUUCCAUCCUUCUGCCUGAGGGGAAGAUGCAAUCAUCUGGCACAUGUUUACAGGGCAUGAAAUAACAACUUGGCUGUGACAUUUCAGGUCAGAAAUGUUCCACUCUUGAGCUUUGAAGACAUGGGGGGGGGAGAACUGUGCAUGUAUAUGUAUGUACUGGUUAUUUUCUCCUGUUCUUAGGAUUUGCUAUAACUGUAUCAGCACCUGCUGAAUGAAAAACUGAAUUCUUCCUGCCACUUGAAUGACAAAGCUGCCAAAACGGUGAUGAAUAUUUCUUUCAAAGCAGAUAAAGUAAUCUCUCAGUGCUGGUCACCACUGAGUCUCCAGGAAACCUUCAGAUGCAAUUUUCCCUGUGUAGGGACUGGGACAACCCUGGAGGGAAAGAAACUUUUGCUAAGCAAUAUAUAGGACAAUGAAAUUACUAUGAGUGAUUUGGAUUGGAUCUUUGACACAGGAUUUUGGAUGCAAUUCUUUGUUUAGUCCAGGAGUUAUCAAAAUUUACAUCCAGCCUAAACUGACUGCAGCUAGCAAGUAGCAGGCUUGUGCUCAAGAAUUCAAAAGGUCGGUUUUGGUCAUUCCCUACAUGCAUGUAUACCCAAUUAUCAUCCAGCCAUUAGCAUUUACUGCUUAUUUUAUUUUAAUUUUAUUGCCUGUAACAGGUUCAGUUGGUGAAAAUCAAGGUAGAAAAAUCCAUUCUGGAGGUGGAAAAGUGCCUUUUUUUUU